UCCACUUCCCCGCUCUGUGCCUGGGGAUACGGUAUUUUUGGCACAAUGGCGAGAACCAGAUCCGAGUUCGCUCGACCCCACUCCCAUUUUCUCUUCCUACGGAACAUCAAUGCGUGUAAACAUGACUUCAUAGCGGCUGCACUCUUCAUACGUCCUGUCCUUUCUCAGCCACAAGGCACAGCGCGAUAGGCAGGCGACGAAAAUGUUACACCGCUAAGAGAAUUCAUGUAAGCAUUUAUUUGAGGUAAGCCCUCCUAAUUAAGUCAACUUUAACACAGACACACAAAUGGCAGCAUGCAUGCAUAUGUGUCUGGCGUCUCGACUACGUCUGGUGAGCCCAAAGGAAGUCAGGCAGCAGCGGGCCAAGGAGACAGCUAAUAAAUUCAGUCUCUCCCUUCUGUAACCUCUCGGU
rnacentral:lncRNA from 1 species